UGGAAUUAAUUAGAAGAGCUAUGUAGCGGUGUGGAGUGGGUAGUGAGGAAGAGUGAGGAGGCGGUGGGGGGUUUUAUACAGGGGAGGGAGAGAGAGAGAUCGGGUCAGGGUUAGCUUGUGUGAGGAGGAGAAAGAGCAGUAACAGCGGUGGUGGGGUUUAGUAGUUGAGGCGGCGUCGUGGGUCAACGUGGACGUGGGAUGGGAAAGGGGAGUGAAGUAGCGAGGAAGGGGGAGAGAGGUGUAGCAAGUUGGGGAACUGCAACGACUUCGUCUCUCUCUCUCUCUCUCUCUCUCUCUCUCCCCCUCGCUCUCUCGUCCGGGUCAAUCCAAUAGGAAAUGGAGAAAUUAUUCCCUGCUCCGGUGGACCUAGUGUUGAUCUUAAGUGCGAGGGAUAGGGAUGAGGACGUGGGAUGACGUAAGGGUGAUCGAAGAGCAUUCACAAAUCACAGGUGGCCAAAGAGCGAGUGGCAGGGCGGCGGCGUGCCAUAACUAAUUCGAGGGCAAUUUCGUAAAUUUUACCGCUCCUUUUAAUUUUGGGAUUUGUUCCGCGUGGUAGCGUGAGCCGCGCUCUUCGGUUGGUGGACUUUCCAGUUUCCACAGCGGCAGCCACAGCUACUUCUGAGGAAGCAUCCGAAAGGUGGGCACAGGCACAGCCUACUUGCAUUUGUAUUUUGUACCACGUGUUUCUUAUUUUGCUUAGUAGUCUUUCCAGUUUUCUAUUUUGUUUGGCUCAUAAUAGUUUGGCAGAUGGGCACUUGUUCGAGCAUCAUUUAAUUGGAUGAUAAGAUGAUUGAUUGGGUAAAAAUAAAAUACUUUUAAAAUUUA